rnacentral:lncRNA from 1 species
AUGUUAUACAAGAUGUUUAUAGAAAGAGGCGUGAGGAGGGCUGUUAUACAAGUGUUUAUAGAAAGAGGCUGUGUGAUGAGGCUGUUAUACAAGAGGCUUAUAGAAAGAGGCUGUGAUGAGGCUGUUAUACAAGAUGUUUAUAGAAAGAGGAGAGGCGCUGUGAUACAAGAUGUUUGUCUGUUUUUUUAAGCAAAACUUCCUUUUUGCCUGAGUAACCUCU